CAGAACCUCCUGCUCUCGGUGCAGCUGCGCCCGGCUUCCCAGACGCCCCGUUGCCUCAGCGGGGACCGGCACCAACAACAUAGUUUUUGAGUCCUAUGGUGGAGCAACCCCCUGGCUACUUUCCAUGAGACCAGAGGGAGUCUGAAAAGAUUUCAGAGCUACCCUCAAGACCUGAAGAAAUGAUUCAUUACCCUUAUCUCACCUCUGACCAAUCAGUUGCCCUAUAUAAUCGGUAACCUACAGGCCUUCAAGGAUUUCCAGCUUUUGAGCAUUAGCUUCCCAUUCUCCUGGAUAAGGCCAUUCAUCAAUAAAACAGCCAAUAUUUCUCCACUGCAA